UACAGGGGGUGCAAACGUUGCUCGGAAUCAUUGGGCGUAAAGCGCACGUAGGCGGUUUGUUAUGUCGGAUGGGAAAGCCCUUGGCUCAACUGAGGAAGUGCAUCCGAAACUGGCAAGCUAGAGUACUAAAGAGGGUCGCGGAAUUCCCGGUGUAGAGGUGAAAUUCGUAGAUAUCGGGAGGAACACCGGUGGCGAAGGCGGCGACCUGGGUAGAUACUGACGCUGAGGUGCGAAAGCGUGGGGAGCAAACAGG
rnacentral:rRNA from 1 species